AAAGUUUUAUUAUAAAAAAGUUAUAUUCUAUUGUCGGUAGGAAGGUUAAAACUUUG
rnacentral:tRNA from 1 species